UUAGUAUAUAGAGAUUUUGGUGAAUAUUUUCUUUUUUCUUAUUUUGGAGCUGUUCUAGAAUUAUCUUAAUGGAUGUUAUUCGUAUUUUGUGAAUACUGUCAGUCAUAGUGUUGGAAACUUGUUAUUCUUCUGAGAUGCUUUCUAAACUGGGAUGCCAUUGAUCGAAAGACGAAAGCCUUGUGGGCGAAACUCCUGUUGAUGUUUCAUUGAGAUCUGAAGUUUUCUGUUUUCUGUUCAGAAAAUUUGUUUCUGAGGAUCCGAAGCUGUUGCUUGAUGAUCUUGUUUCAGUACUCAUAACAUUAUUUAUACUAGCUGAUUUGUUGAUUUUCAUCCCUGUUAAUAAGCAGGUAAAGCAAUUUUCAUCCUGCGAUUGUGAAUCUCUGUUUUCUUGUCUCAGAGAAGAAUAAGGAACCUCUGAUUUUUUGUUUGAAUUUCUAUGGAACAGCCAGCAGUUAGAAAAACUGCCUUCCUGAUUUUCUGUUGUGUUUUCCUUAAGACUUGAUUGUUUCUGAAAUUUAUGAGCCGGAGAGGAUUUAAAGGCGAGGGAUUGAAGUCUUUUAAGGGUGCUUAUAGGCACAAUAUAGAAUUUUUGGCCAGGCAUGAGAGUGGUUUCCGGUGGCAGAAUGGCCCAUGGUUGCUGGAAAACUGUUGGAUGACAAAUCCAACUUUUCGGGUUUCUGCUGAUUAUUUCUGAUGCAAGAACAGGCCUGUCAUGAAGUUCUACAUGUCCUCCUGGAUGAACAAUUUUUACAAACAUGUUUUUAGUAUUACGACUGCAUAUCCAGUUCGAAAAGGCCAUGACUUUUCAAGCAUAUAACCUGAUUUUGUUUCCUUUUCGGAGUGCCAAGGGGAUAAAUACAUCGAGUGAAUUAAUAGUUAUGAGCUGGGAUGGUAAAUGAUAAAGAGAGCAUAUUUUAGAUGUAAACUAUAAAUUCCUUGGUAUGGAGGUAUGGAUAUUGACAAAGUAAAUAAGUGCAGUUGGAAAGUGUAUAUAAUGGAGUAGACCAGGUAGUAUACUACAGGGGUAAAUUUGGACUGAUAGUACAAGUAAACGUAGACAAUAUCCGAAAGUAGAGAGGUAAAUUUGACCCUUCGUGUUUGUGAAUGAAACACGUCUGAUAUACCGAUGAUAGUCAAGUUGCUGUGACUGAAAACUUCAAAGGAAACCAGCUAUUGACACUGGUUUUCCAGAAGGAGAAUCUUCAAACUAGGAAGUAACAACACUGUUCUUUUGUCUUUCUUUAUGUGAAUGUUGUUUCACUAAAAGAUACGUUACAAAUUGUACCAUGUGACUAUCUAAGACAAUGAACUGGAUAUUCUUUUCCC